rnacentral:lncRNA from 10 species
UGACGUUGUGCAUUUUUUCAUGUGUUUGCUGGCCACAUGUAUGUCUUCUUUUGAAAAAUGUCUGUUCAUGUCUUUUGUCAGCUUUUUAAUGGGGUUGUUUGUUUUCUGUCUGUUAAUUUAUUUAAGUUCCUGGCAAAGAUUCCAUGAUGAAGAUGCCAAAAGCAAUUGCAACAAAACCAAAAAUUGACAAAUGGGACCUAAUUAAAGUAAAGAGCUUCUGCACGGCAAAAGAAACUAUCAACAGAGUAAACAGACAACCUACAGAAUGGGAGAAAUAUUUGCAAACUAUGCAUCCGACAAAGGUCUAAUAUCCAGAAUCUUUAAGAAACUUAAAACUUUCAUAUGCACAGGAAAGGAAAAAAAUUGUAUUGACUCGCUUUAUUGUGAUAGUCACUUUAUUGUGGUGGUCUGGAACCUGCAAUAUCUCCAAAGUAUGCCUGUACAAGUUUUUGUAGGGCGAUAUUUUUCCAUGUUUCUUUGGUAUAUAUCUCAAGGUGGAAUUGUUGGGUUAUCUAAGUAAUCAUAAGUAGGUUUAUAAUAUAUAUUCUAGAGAUUGUAGGCUAUUCUACCAAGAAACAGAGCUGAGGGCUUAAAGACCUGAGUUUGUCACUUUCCCACCUCUGUAAAUUCUCCAGCGCCAUCAGAAGCAGCCAGCUGCAUUCUUAAGGCUUUGCCUUCCGGGCCACUCUGCUGCAAGCAACCACAGGUAAUUACGGAUUCAUCACAGGCACUGGAAGACUGAAAGAACAAAAAGCAGAUGCUAAGAUAACCCUGAAAUUAUUCACACCAGGAAGAAACUACCAUCCCAGGCUGAGAGAACAAAAGGGAAGGAAUAUUGCUAUCAGGACCUUGGUGUUGUAGGGAUUCCACUUAAACCGCUGAGGGAAAUCUCUACACAGCUAGUACUGCAGCCUCUGAGAAUAGGGUGCCAUGUUCUGGAGAUCAGACCUUCAGGGGGACAUUUUGUACUGCUAGUGCCUAGACGCUAAGUAGGGUGUUGAUAGUGGUGGACCCUCAUAUUUAAAGGAGGGUCUUCAGUCUAGCUGGUACCUGUACCUCUAAAAAGGAAGUCUGGCCAUACCCUGGAUGUCUGAGCUGGCAGCACAACCCAGUGGAUAUUCCAGUCACUCAUGGGGCAGGGAUUGUGCCCCACAGACGCUCGAAUGGUCCAGAAGCACUGGCUCAGGGUGAGAAAAAAAGCAUAGCCCACCUGGCUGUACAACUGCAAAGGGGAUAUGGUCCAGCUCCUGUGGACAUCACUGAACAGGCACAGCAUGGCAGGUGCUGGGAGCAGUCACACAGUGGGCAGCUAGAACCUUCUCCCUGCUGCUAUGAGAGCAACACUGAUUGGAACUGGACACUGUGGGGAGAAAAAAGCCUUUUUUGUCCACUUCCUACCUAGCCAAUCUCCCCUGAAUGCUUCCUAUUGACAGAACCUAAAAGGAAGUCAGUUGGUGAGGGGACUAAGAAGUGGAGUUUGGAGAUCUUCAGCUCCAAAUGGAGCUGAGAGACCAGAGGGCAGAAGAUGAAGAGCCAGAAAACCUGGAUCCUGGCCCCAACCCAGCACUGACUGGGUUACUGAUGUUACCAAACACAAAGUCCACUCCUGAAGCCCACUGGGAUGUAAAAUCCAUGACUACAGAGAUUUUGUGGGUCUUGUUCAUCAUUGCAUAUCAUCGGCAUCUAACACAGUGCUUGGCUUCUCAGAAGAAAAAUAGAAUUACCAUUCAACCUAGUGAUCCCAUUUAUAGGUAAGUACCCAAAGGAAAAUAAAUUGCUCUACCAAAAAGUUACCUGCUCUCAUAUGUGUAUUGCAGCACUAUUCACAAUAGCAAAAUUAUGGGAUCAACCUAGGUGCUCAUCAACAGUGGAUUGGAUAAAUAAAAUGUGGUACAUAUACACCAUGGAGUACUAUGCAGCCAGAAGUAAGAAUGGAAUCAUGUUUUCUGUAGCAACUGGAGCUGGAAGCCAUCCUCCUAAGUCAAUUAAUGCAGAAACAGAAAAAUCAAAUACUGUGGGUUCUCACUUAUAAGUGGGAGCAAAACAAUGGAGACACAUGGACAUAAAGGUGAAAACAAUAGACGCUGGGGCCUCCAAAAGAGAGAAAGGAGAGAGGAGAGGAAAGGUUGAAAUAUGACCUGUGGGGUACCAUGUUCACUAUUCAGGUGAUGGGUUCGAUAGAAGCCCAAACUCCAGCAUCUUGAAAUAUAUCCAUGUAACAAACCUGCAAUGUACUCCUGAAACUAAAAUUAAAAAAAAAAGAAAUAAAAUAAAAUAAAAACAGUGCUUGGUCCUUAAGAGGUAUUCACUAAUUCAUUGUCCAAUGAAUGAAGUACUGUGAGGGAAUGAGUUGUUGAAUAAGAAGGGAAUGGUUUGACUAGUCUGAAAAGCUAACCUGAGAUAGGAUAGGGACAGAUUGUAAAGGCCUUGAAUAUCCCACUAAGGUGACUAAAUUUGACUUAGUUGGUAAUGAGACUUAUGUAACAAGACCCAUGUAAGACUUUAAGAUCAAUCAAGAGAUGGUGUGUAGGACAGGUGGACAGGGAUACUGAAGGCGACAAAACCCAUUAAAAACCCACUAUUGGAAUUGUCCAAGCCAGGUGUGAGGUGGCACUGACAAAGGUAGUGCUAAUAGAAAGGGGAGGAGAAAUCAUAAUGAAAUUCUCCAUUGUUCCUGGCAACAAAUUAAAAGUAGAAGGUGAAAGAGAAUGGGAUCCCAGGUUUAGCUUGGAGCCAGCAGCAGAACUGAUCUCCAAGGGAUGGGCGGCUUUGGGAAAUAUUAAUUUUGACACCCCAAAUGCCAUAUCUGAGUGCACAGUUGAAAACAGGGGCCUACACCUCAGGAGAUGAGUUCUAAGUAGAUUUGGGAAUUAGAGAUCACUCUUAACUGAUUUGGCCGAUCCUGAAGCAAUAGCAACUGAUGAAAUAAAUGGAUAGAUAGAUAGAUAGAUAGAUAGAUAGAUAGAUAGAUAGAUAAAAAUAAAAAAUUAACUGAUUUGGCCCAGUUCUCAAGUCAUGAAAGAGGAUGACACCACCAAGGGGUGAAUGAGCAUAGCAAGAGAGUGUGAAAUAUCAAAAAGAGAAUCUUGAAAAAUGUCAUUUACACACACAUAGUCCUAACAAGAGGAGAAUAGUUGGUGCCAAGCAAAGGAAAACAGGGCAGGGCACACAGGCGCAGAAGCCAGGGGAGGAAGGUUGUCAAAAUCCCACUUGAGGGGACCGGAUGAAAAAGCGGCCAGUGGGUGUGGUAAUUGGAGGUCGCCCUUAAACGAGUAUUAAUUCAAGGCGCAGGUAAGAAACAUGGAGAAGAGCAGCGCAAAGCACGUGUGAGGCAAACGCUACGGCAGCACGUGAGGAUGGUGGCAGCGAACGAAGGGCAGGAUGGACCAGGUGUUGAGGGUGACAGCCCAGCUCGGAGAGGUUUUGUUUAGGGUAGGGGAGACCUGAGCACAUUUGUAGAAGGCAGUGAAGCCAUUGGAGAGAGAUUGACUAUGCUAAGACACAAGAGGGAGAGGAGAUACCUGACUGGGCAUAAAGGUCAAGAAGUCAAAAACGAACGGAAAUGAGAGCCCGGUGCAACCUUAACAGCCUUAGAAAGGGAGCUACAAACAGCUGUGGUUUACCAGCACUGAUGUUUCUCGACCACGCUUCAAAGCAUAGCUUCAAGAGCAGGGUCGAUCUUUCUUAAUUACCCAGCUUCUGUGGCUAUCAUAUAUAUAGCCUUGGGGCUGGAACAGAGGAGGGAGGCUCUUAGUAAAAGCCCUCGAUGACAGUGGCAGUGUCAUUCCCACUUUGCAGACAUUCCAUUCAUUCUUACACUGUCUUUCAGCAGAACGUGGGACAGGUAUUGUUGUGAGGGCCAGAAAUGGGAGCUCUGAUUUGGAUGCCAAAAUCAAAGUUAGGAAAGGGGCCAGUGUUUCCUGUUGCCCCCUAGAUAGCCCCACAUUGCUCUGCAAAACCGCAAUAGUCACUUAACCCCCGGGCACUCACACCAGGGGAAAAGAAUGCUAACAGUUCCAACAAAAAUACUUGAACUCUCUUCAGUUCCUUGCAUCUGACCUUGAUAUUUUCCCUUGAAAAUGAACCACAGUAGCUCCAAGGAGUACAGGGAAAGGGACCAGAUGGACAAUAAGAUAAGGGGUUUGGAUUUGCCUAAAAAGUAGGACUAAACUUUGAACUUGGUUAUAUUCUUAGUUUUUUAGCUAUAGCCAAGCUUUUCCAAGUGUAUAAAAGCUGCCAACAAUCUUUCCAUUUGUUAGGAACUGCACUUAGCAAUUACCCUGCAUGUCAAUAAAAACAAGGGCUUACUAUGUACCAGGUACUGUUCCAAUCACUUUACACAUAUUAUCUCAUUUAUUAUUAUCCUGUGGAGAUUCUUGUUAGGAUUAAAUGAGAUAAUACAUGGAAAGAGCUACCUUUCUCCUCAUUUACAUGUAAGGGAACUCUGGCUUGGAGAACCCGGCCACAUAUUUUAAAGUAUUUAUGAAAUAUCAUCUGCUUGUUUUCAUCUUUUAUGAAGAUGCAUCUAGGAUACAUCCUGGGCAAGUUGCCUGGACAAUCUAGGCAAUUGAGUUUCCUACUGAAUUUCCUCAGAG